UAAAAACUAUCUGCAAUCCUCGUUCACGUGCACUGCUUGUAUAGAUGUGCGAUUGGCAGAGCGCUUUCUCAGACAGGGAUGAUCAUUGUGCUGAUAAAUGCAAUGAGCAUGUGAAGAAAGUUCAGUCUUUUUCUCUCCGUCUGCUGGCUGCAUAUGGUUUUCACUGCAACUCCUGAAAUCUGUCAUGUCAAUAAAAUCUUGUAUAAACAUGAAUGACAUUGCGACCGGUAAAUGUACCACAGAGCUGUUUUUCUUUUACUUCUGCGUGUCCCUGGCUGUUUCUUCUAUCGGCGUAAUCACAAACGGUCCCUCACCGCUGAAGUAACACGGAUAUGUUGAGUCUGGUUUAGAAGAAGAAUGAUGAGUGAUGGCAUCUUUUCUGGCAAAAAAGCAAAGCACUCUUCAUGUUAUUUUGCUGGUCAGUAGCACUUAGUUGAAAAGGACACAAGCUCAGUGUUUGGAGUUUAGACUCACUCUUACAAGCUUUUCUCUGCUUCCAACUUCUAGCACACAGGGGGAAGUGAUGUCUCGUAUUUGUCUGCUAGCACUUCUCUGCACCUUCCUGCUGAUUUGUUUUUGUGAAGCGGGCGUUCCGGUUCACAAGGAGAUCAGGGCGAAGAGAAGUCUCCCGUACUGGAACCUGUGGUCCUCUGAUUUCUACGGCUGGGUGGAUGAGUUGAGAUCUCAGAGCGGAUAUGACACGCUGCUGGACUUGGCGAGAAACUAUUGGGCUCACUUUCCCAUUGCUGGUUUUCUAGGGUACGGAAGCACCCCAGGGCAAAAAGACUAUCAGCCAGAGCUGGAAGUUGAAGACUUAAAAUAACAUGGCAAUGUCUUUCCCACUGGGCUCCCUCUGUAUACUGUUUUCCCCUCCAUUAGCCGCCUUGGUAUCUAUUCCAGUACAUGUCUUUUCCUUAUGGAGCAACCCCCUAAAAUCUCUGAAUCAGUUUUACAGAUUUUUUCUCUAGCUCACUCUUUUAUUUUUGCACACUAGCUGUAUUCGCAAAUGACCCAUGUGAUUCAUAGACGUUUAUUGUGAGUACAACAUUAAGCGCAUUUUGUCAAUGUAACUACAGCAAUA